GCAACGUGGAUACCCCGGGAGGUUACUCUCCCUGGGCUCUGUCCUAGUGGCAUAGGGGAGCAUAGGCUCUGCCCCAUGAUGUACAGUCCUUUUCCACGACGUUGGAGAUGAAGCUGGGCUUCAAGUCUGCGCCUGCAUAUUCCUAUGGCUUCUCAGAGUCCUAUGGACAAUGACUGAGGAGACAAACCAUGCAGGAAACAGUC
rnacentral:snoRNA from 1 species